UCCCCGAUAGCUCAACGGUUGAGCAGGCGGCUGUUAACCGCAAGGUUCGUGGUUCGAAUCCACGUCGGGGAGCCA
rnacentral:tRNA from 1 species